rnacentral:lncRNA from 1 species
AUGAAUAUGUAGAUUACUCUCACCCUUCACCUCGCUCUGGAAAAACCAGCCACCAUGUUGUAAGGAUGCUCAAGUAGCACUAUGGAGAUUCACACGUGGCAAAGAGCUGAGGCCUCCCACCAACAGCCACAUGAGGGAGCCAGAGUAGGAGUGGCUCCUCCAGCCCCAGUCGAACCUUCAGAUGUGACAGACUUGGCUGCUGACAGUUUGCAAUCUCAUGAGACCCUGAGCCAGAACCACCCAGCUAAAUCAGUCCUGGACUCCUGAUCAACAGAAAUGACCAAAGAGAGGCGUUUUGAACAUUAAGACGCUUUGCUGCUUCUCACCUGAAACACGUAACAGGAACACCAACCUCUUCAGCCGCGGGAAAUCUUCUUUGACACAAAACUCAAACCGAGUCAACCCAAAGUUCCAAGUUCUUUGCUUUCUCUUCUGUGUGUGUGUUGGUUUGUCCCAAAAGUCAGUUUGCAAGUUGAAACUUCAUGAAAUUACUCGUAGCAGAAAUAAAGUACAUUGUACAAAUCA